CCUACGGGGGGCAGCAGUGAGGAAUAUUGGUCAAUGGGUGGGAGCCUGAACCAGCCAAGCCGCGUGAGGGAAGAAGGUACAGCGUAUCGUAAACCUCUUUUGUCAGGGAACAAAGGCGGGGACUAGUCCCCGGAUGAGGGUACCUGAAGAAAAAGCAUCGGCUAACUCCGUGCCAGCAGCCGCGGUAAUACGGAGGAUGCGAGCGUUAUCCGGAUUUAUUGGGUUAAAAGGGUGCGCAGGCGGCCUGUUAAGUCAGCGGGAAAAGCCCGGGGCUCAACCCCGGCGAGCCGUUGAAACUGGCGGGCUGGAGUUGGAGAGAAGUACGCGGAAUGCGCGGUGUAGCGGUGAAAUGCUUAGAUAUCGCGCAGAACCCCGAUUGCGAAGGCAGCGUACCGGCUCCACACUGACGCUGAGGCACGAAAGCGUGGGUAUCGAACAGGAUUAGAUACCCGAGUAGUC
rnacentral:rRNA from 1 species